UUAGAGUUUAUUUUAUGUAUUUUGUAUUACAUUGUGUAUUUUGUACUUAAGAAACUUGUUGAUUCUGAUAAAUUGUUUAUGUAUUAUGUAUUUUGUGAUCGAACAUAUUACAACUUGCUGAUUUUGUAUUAUGUAUUUUGAUAAAUUGUCUACUUAAGCAACUUGUAUUUUGAUAAAUUGUAUUAUGUAUUGCACUGUUCAUAUUGUACUUACAUGACAUUUUUAAUUUACUCUUUUUUACUUUAUGACAACAGAUGACUAACAAAGGUGGCGGUGAUAAAGGAAAGGCCCAUCCUACAAGGGGUAAACAAAAGAUGUUGCGACCGAGUAAACUUAAUGAGCAGCGGGAUGUCAUACGUCGCAACUUGUCUACCACUAGGCCACUUCAAUGUUCGUCUCCAGCCCCGUCUUAGCCUCCAACAUCAACUAUGGUCUUCAAGCAUUUUGGGAAGGUACAUCAUUCAAGAACAUCUCCAACCAAAAUAAGAUCAAUCGAGCUUCAACAAAAGGCGGGACUGUCCACACCUCAGGCCGCAAGGCUCAUAUUGAUGUUGCGAUUGAGCUCAGCAAUAACCUUCAAAGAGAUUUACUUCCAGAUGAGUUAUUUUUGACAACCCACAAGAG